AUACGAGGGGUGCAAGCGUUGUUCGGAAUUACUGGGCGUAAAGGGAGCGUAGGCGGAGAUUCAAGCGGAUUGUACAAUCCCGGGGCCCAACCCCGGCUCUGUAGUCCGAACUGGAUCUCUUGGAUAGUUCAGGGGCAGGCGGAAUUCCUGGUGUAGCGGUGGAAUGCGUAGAGAUCAGGAAGAACACCGAUGGCGAAGGCAGCCUGCUGGGGACUUAUCGACGCUGAGGCUCGAAAGUGCGGGUAGCAAACAGGAUUAGAUACCCUGGUAGUCCGCACCGUAAACGAUGCAUACUGGGUGUCCGGGGGUUCCCCCGGGUACCGUAGCCAACGCGUUAAGUAUGCCGCCUGGGGAGUACGUACGCAAGUAUGAAACUUAAAGGAAUUGACGGGG
rnacentral:rRNA from 1 species